rnacentral:rRNA from 1 species
AUUGAACGCUGGCGGCAUGCUUUACACAUGCAAGUCGAACGGUAACAGGCCGCAAGGUGCUGACGAGUGGCGAACGGGUGAGUAAUGCAUCGGAACGUGCCCAGUCGUGGGGGAUAACGCAGCGAAAGCUGUGCUAAUACCGCAUACGAUCUAUGGAUGAAAGCGGGGGACCGUAAGGCCUCGCGCGAUUGGAGCGGCCGAUGUCAGAUUAGGUAGUUGGUGGGGUAAAGGCUCACCAAGCCAACGAUCUGUAGCUGGUCUGAGAGGACGACCAGCCACACUAGGACUGAGACACGGCCCAGACUCCUACGGGAGGCAGCAGUGGGGAAUUUUGGACAAUGGGCGCAAGCCUGAUCCAGCAAUGCCGCGUGCAGGAAGAAGGCCUUCGGGUUGUAAACUGCUUUUGUACGGAACGAAACGGCGAGCUCUAAUACAGUUUGCUAAUGACGGUACCGUAAGAAUAAGCACCGGCUAACUACGUGCCAGCCGCCGCGGUAAUAC